rnacentral:rRNA from 1 species
CAAUAGCGUAUAUUUAAGUUGUUGCAGUUAAAAAGCUCGUAGUCGGAUUUUGGCUGAGAACGAUCGGUCCGCCGUUAGGUGCGCACUGAUUGGUCUCAGCUUCCUGGUGAGGAGGUGUGCUUCACGGCCACUUAGUCACCGUGGUUACUUUGAAAAAAUUAGAGUGUUCAAAGCGGGCUUACGCUUGAAUAUAUUAGCAUGGAAUAACACCAUAGGACUCCUGUCCUAUUUCGUUGGUCACGGGACGGGAGUAAUGAUUAAGAGGAACAGUUGGGGGCAUUCGUAUUUCAUUGUCAGAGGUGAAAUUCUUGGAUUUAUGAAAGACGAACUUCUGCGAAAGCAUUUGCCAAGGAUGUUUUCAUUGA